AGCUCCAAUAGCGUAUAUUAAAAUUGUUGCAGUUAAAAAGCUCGUAGUUGAACUUCUGGUUUGGCGCGCGCGGCCCGUUGCGGCAACGCAGUGUGUGCCGUUGUGCGCCUGCCAUCCUUCUGGCGUUUGGGUGUGCCCUUCACUGGGACUGCAUCUGGGUGUCAAGAUCUUUUACUUUGAAAAAAUUAGAGUGUUUAAAGCAGGCUUGCGCAAUGAAUACAUUAGCAUGGAAUAAUAAUUUAGGACUUCUGUUCUAUUUUGUUGGUUUCUAGGAUGGAAGUAAUGAUUGAUAGGGAUAGUUGGGGGUGCUAGUAUUCAGCGGCCAGAGGUGAAAUUCUUGGAUUCGCUGAAGACUAACUUAUGCGAAAGCAUUCACCAAGGAUGUCUUCU
rnacentral:rRNA from 1 species